GUGGGGAAUAUUGCACAAUGGGGGAAACCCUGAUGCAGCAACGCCGCGUGAAGGAAGAAGUAUUUCGGUAUGUAAACUUCUAUCAGCAGGGAAGAAAAUGACGGUACCUGACUAAGAAGCCCCGGCUAACUACGUGCCAGCAGCCGCGGUAAUACGUAGGGGGCAAGCGUUAUCCGGAUUUACUGGGUGUAAAGGGAGCGUAGACGGAAUGGCAAGUCUGAAGUGAAAUCCUGCGGCUUAACUGCAGAAUUGCUUUGGAAACUGUCAAUCUGGAGUGUUGGAGAGGUAAGCAGAAUUCCUGGUGUAGCGGUGAAAUGCGUAGAUAUCAGGAAGAACACCGGAGGCGAAGGCGGCUUACUGGACAAUAACUGACGUUGAGGCUCGAAAGCGUGGGAAGCAAACAGGAUUAGAUACCCCUGUAGUCC
rnacentral:rRNA from 1 species